rnacentral:tRNA from 1 species
AUUUAAAUAGCUUAAUUAAAAGCAUAAUAUUGAAGAUAUUAAGAUAACUUUUGUUUUUAAAUA